AUGCGAAUAAUUCUCGCUGUCCUGAUAUUCUCGUGAUCAGGGGAGGCUAGACAUUCGCUAUAUUAAAACUAUGCAUUGUGUCCUCCAGGACUAGAUUGUUGCUCUAGUACUGGUUUUGUAAAUGCUAGUGACAGGU
rfam:Charadrius vociferus contig60580, whole genome shotgun sequence.